rnacentral:rRNA from 1 species
UACGUAGGGCGCAAGCGUUGUCCGGAAUUAUUGGGCGUAAAGAGCUCGUAGGCGGCUUGUCACGUCGAUUGUGAAAGCCCGAGGCUUAACCUCGGGUCUGCAGUCGAUACGGGCUAGCUAGAGUGUGGUAGGGGAGAUCGGAAUUCCUGGUGUAGCGGUGAAACGCGCAGAUAUCAGGAGGAACACCGGUGGCGAAGGCGGAUCUCUGGGCCGAUACUGACGCUGAGGAGCGAAAGCGUGGGGAGCGAACAGG